GCUGGGUGUGGUGGCGGGCGCCUGUAAUCCCAGCUACUUGGGAGGCUGAGGCAGGAGAAUUGCUUGAACCCAGGAGGCAGAGGUUGCAGUGAGCUAUGCCACUGCACUCCAGCCUGGGCGACAGAGCGAGACUCUGCCUCAA
ensembl:misc_RNA Metazoa_SRP Metazoan signal recognition particle RNA